rnacentral:lncRNA from 1 species
UGUUUUAAAAAAAUCUGUUCACACAAUGAUUCCACUAAUUUAUUCAAUAUUUUAUAUUUGACAGAUAAAAUAAGAUAUUGUGUGACUCCUGUUCUUGAAGAAAUUGACUCAGCUCCUCACCAUGCAUCAUGGACAAAUUCUACAUUUCUUGGGCUUGAGAAGGAUAUUGGUUCCCACCUACUCACUAAGACAGAGGACCUCAACUGUCCUUCAACAACAUCUGGAGCUGGGGCUGGAAGACAUCCCUCGGGCCCUCUAAGCUUACUGCCCAGGAAAGAAGAGCCACAGUUUCCUCUGUGGGUGACUGGAUGAGCCAACACUGCCCCUCACUCUGUCCCUAAUGGUCAGUCAGCCAAGGAAAGAGGUAACACUGACUCUUAUUCCCAUAAAUGGACUCCAAGUGCUCCAGGCUGCUAGAGGUCCACUGCCCCCAUCACCAUCCCAAAAGUUUUUAUGAUUGGGACAUAUCUUUUCUCUGUCCUAAGUAUAUUAAUACUUUCACAUAAAUAUCUGAGAAAAAUAGAAAAGAAUGAAAGAAAGGCGCUGUGUCCUUUAUAGUACAACAAAUUGCAGGAAAGCAUAUCAGGUUUUCAAGUCCUCAUAGGCGAUGUUAGCAUAUUGCUUAUCUGUGAGUGGUGCAGCAUUUCUGAAGUGUUAUUAUACUGUCCAUUGUCUAUAAAUGUGAAUAUUCCUCUAUCAUACUAAUGGUAUUUAUUCUAUUUAAAAAUAAGGAGAAGGUGGGAAGACAUCAAUAUUGCACCUGAAAGGUGAGGUCAUUUCUGGCUGUACCCAUAAAUCUUAGUCAUUCAACCAAAUCAUGCAACUUAUAUACACUUAGGUCUAAAAUGCAAACCACAAGUCCACCCCGUAGGAACCACUCCCCUUGACUUGUUCUGCUGCUUCUGAUUUCGAUCCAAGUAUCUGCUCUGUGGUGCUGUGGUAAUUUCAGUUUCUGGCUCCUGCACUAGGCCCUGAGACUUUAUCUCUCUGGCUGUCAAGCUUUGACUUCACUCUCAGCAAACAGGACUUCAACAACACUAGGUUCCUGGCAAACAAACAUGUGCUCAAACUGAAAACAGGAAUUCAGAGGAAGGAUCUCAGAAAAUAAAGGGAAAGCUUGAGUUAUCUAUACCUUGAAUGUAAAAAAGGUUGAAAAAAUCUAGGUGGUUGUCGGAGACAGGCAGGGAGCUAGCUGUCAGUGAGAAACCAAGGCGAGAUCAUUUCUGCUCCGCCCCACCAUCCCCAAGCUCCACAAGGGGAUUGGACCAGUAGUCUAUAAAGAAAACUAAUUUGAAAAUGAACAGAAGUCUGCUUUUACAUGUUAGUUCUGUUCAUUUCUUGUACUUUCUCUUUCAGUGUCUAGUUUGGCCUACUCAUCUGCACCAAAAAAUAUCAAAGAAGUUUUAUUCAAGCAGAGCUAACACUAUCAAUCAGUAAGUAUCAUUCUAAAGCCAAUAUGGUGCAUGACAAUAGGAAUCACAAUGAGCAAUGUCAAGGGAAAGUGAGACACGGGAGAGAGUUGCUUUCCAUGGGUCCGUGAUCCUCCUCACCCGAAAAUACCCAUUUCAGUGUGAAUUUUGGAGUUCCAGAGUUUUAUUUUACUGACAAAUG